AUCAUUCAUAGAGUGUAAAGGCAUAAGGGAGCUUGACUGCGAGACCUACAAGUCGAGCAGGGUCGAAAGACGGACUUAGUGAUCCGGUGGUUCCGCAUGGAAGGGCCAUCGCUCAACGGAUAAAAGCUACCCCGGGGAUAACAGGCUUAUCUCCCCCAAGAGUUCACAUCGACGGGGAGGUUUGGCACCUCGAUGUCGGCUCAUCGCAUCCUGGGGCUGUAGUCGGUCCCAAGGGUUGGGCUGUUCGCCCAUUAAAGCGGUACGCGAGCUGGGUUCAGAACGUCGUGAGACAGUUCGGUCCCUAUCCGUCGUGGGCGUAGGAAAUUUGAGAGGAGCUGUCCUUAGUACGAGAGGACCGGGAUGGACAUACCUCUGGUGUACCAGUUGUCGUGCCAACGGCAUAGCUGGGUAGCUAUGUGUGGACGGGAUAAGUGCUGAAAGCAUCUAAGCAUGAAGCCCCCCUCAAGAUGAGAUUUCCCAACUUCGGUUAUAAGAUCCCUCAAAGAUGAUGAGGUUAAUAGGUUCGAGGUGGAAGCAUGGUGACAUGUGGAGCUGACGAAUACUAA
rnacentral:rRNA from 1 species